GAUGAAGAACGUAGCGAAAUGCGAUAAGUAAUGUGAAUUGCAGAAUUCAGUGAAUCAUCGAAUCUUUGAACGCACAUUGCGCCCGCCAGUAUUCUGGCGGGCAUGCCUGUUCGAGCGUCAUUUCAACCAUCAAGCCCCCGGCUUGUGUUGGGGACCUGCGGCUGCCGCAGGCCCUGAAAACCAGUGGCGGGCUCGCUAGUCACUCCGAGCGUAGUAAUACAUCUCGCUCAGGGCGUGCUGCGGGUUCCGGCCGUUAAAAAGCCUUAUUUACCCAAGGUUGACCUCGGAUCAGGUAGGAAGACCCGCUGAACUUAAGCAUAUCAAUAAGCGGGGA
rnacentral:misc_RNA from 1 species